GGUUUAUCCAUAUCCACCUUGUGUGCAAUGUAUCUUUGACGAGCCUCGCCUGGUUUGAGCUCCGACGGUUUCCCUCGGGAAUUGUCUACGCUUUUUGUCGGGCGACCCGGAAUGGAACGCGGUUCUCUGCGUUUUUUUUUCUUUUUCGGGCGUGCUUGUCAGAGAAUUUUAACAAACUUUUUGUCAUCUUUUGUCUUACCUUCCAAUUUUUUAAUAAAUUAUGAAAAUACAACUUUUAACAACGGAUCUCUUGGCUCUCGCAUCGAUGAAGAACGCAGCGAAAUGCGAUAAGUAAUGUGAAUUGCAGAAUUCAGUGAAUCAUCGAAUCUUUGAACGCAUAUUGCGCUCUCUGGCAUUCCGGAGAGCAUGCCUGUUUGAGUAUCAUUAAACAACAUCAAGCAAAAACCCCUUGUUGUGUGGGGGGUGGCAGUUUGGACGUGAGCUUUCCCAGCGAAAACGCGCGUGAGCGUGGUCCGACUUGGGUGGCUUUAAAUGCAGUGGUUGCAGGCUUGUUCAGCUUACGGCGUGAUAUUUUAUCCUCGCGGAUAAUUCCCUCGCCUAAACAACUGGUUACAAAGUGUGGCGAUCUAGCAGGAAAACCACGGUGCAGCGAGUCAUUUGCUGUGCUUGGAACUUUGAUCUCAAAUCAGGUAGGAAUACC
rnacentral:rRNA from 1 species